rnacentral:rRNA from 1 species
AUUGAACGCUGGCGGCAGGCCUAACACAUGCAAGUCGAACGAGUGGCGGACGGGUGAGUAAUGUCUGGGAAACUGCCUGCUGGAGGGGGAUAACUACUGGACACGGUAGCUAAUACAGCAUACCAUCAGAUGUGCCCAGAUGGGAUUAGCUCGUUGUGGGGGUAACGGCUCACCAAGGCGACGCUCCCUAGCUGGUCUGAGAGGAUGACCAUCCACACUGGAACGGAGACACGGUCCAGAAGCCUACGGGAGGAAGCAGUGGGGAAUAUUGAACAAUGGGCGCAAGCCUGAUGCAGCCAUGCCGCGUGUAUGAAGAAGUCCUUCGGGUUUUAAAGUACUUUCAGCGGGGAGGCGUUACCCGCAGAAGAAGCACCGGCUAACUCCGUGCCAGCCGCCGCGGUAAUAC